UGCAGAGCUGUUGGGGCCUUCCUGGUGCCCUUCAUUCCACCGGAAUCUGUCCCUACAGAAACCAGAUUUCAGUGAAAUGAAGCCCAUCAGAGGGGCAGGUCA
rnacentral:pre_miRNA from 10 species